rnacentral:rRNA from 1 species
GAACGAACGCUGGCGGCAUGCCUAACACAUGCAAGUCGAACGAGACCUUCGGGUCUAGUGGCGCACGGGUGCGUAACGCGUGGGAAUCUGCCCUUGGGUUCGGAAUAACAGUUGGAAACGACUGCUAAUACCGGAUGAUGACGUAAGUCCAAAGAUUUAUCGCCCAGGGAUGAGCCCGCGUAGGAUUAGCUAGUUGGUGGGGUAAAGGCCUACCAAGGCGACGAUCCUUAGCUGGUCUGAGAGGAUGAUCAGCCACACUGGGACUGAGACACGGCCCAGACUCCUACGGGAGGCAGCAGUGGGGAAUAUUGGACAAUGGGCGAAAGCCUGAUCCAGCAAUGCCGCGUGAGUGAUGAAGGCCUUAGGGUUGUAAAGCUCUUUUACCCGGGAUGAUAAUGACAGUACCGGGAGAAUAAGCCCCGGCUAACUCCGUG